rnacentral:rRNA from 1 species
GACAGAGGUGCCAAGCGUUAGGCGGAAUCACUGGGCUUAAAGCGUGUGUAGGCGGGCCGUUAAGUAUCUUGUGAAAUCCCCCGGCUCAACCGGGGAAUGGCUGGAUAUACUGGCGGUCUUGAGCGAUCUAGGGGCAGAUGGAACAAGUGGUGGAGCGGUGAAAUGCGUAGAUAUCACUUGGAACGCCAAAGGUGAAAACAGUCUGCUGGGGAUCUGCUGACGCUGAGACACGAAAGCCAGGGGAGCGAACGGG